rnacentral:rRNA from 1 species
GCUCAACGGAUAAAAGCUACCCCGGGGAUAACAGGCUUAUCUCCCCCAAGAGUCCACAUCGACGGGGAGGUUUGGCACCUCGAUGUCGGCUCAUCGCAUCCUGGGGCUGUAGUCGGUCCCAAGGGUUGGGCUGUUCGCCCAUUAAAGCGGUACGCGAGCUGGGUUCAGAACGUCGUGAGACAGUUCGGUCCCUAUCCGUCGCGGGCGCAGGAAAUUUGAGAGGAGCUGUCCUUAGUACGAGAGGACCGGGAUGGACGCACCGCUGGUGUACCAGUUGUUCUGCCAAGGGCAUCGCUGGGUAGCUAUGUGCGGACGGGAUAAGUGCUGAAAGCAUCUAAGCAUGAAGCCCCCCUCAAGAUGAGAUUUCCCAUUCCGCAAGGAAGUAAGAUCCCUGAAAGAUGAUCAGGUUGAUAGGUCUGAGGUGGAAGUGUGGUGACACAUGGAGCUGACAGAUACUAAUCGAUCGAGGACUUAACCUAAA